GACGAACGCUGGCGGCGUGCCUAAUACAUGCAAGUCGAACGGAAAGGCCCUGCUUUUGUGGGGUGCUCGAGUGGCGAACGGGUGAGUAAAACGCGUGUAACCCGCCCUUGUAUUUGGGAUAAAUUUACGGAAAUCGGGCUAAAAUCCGAUAUGAGCUCUUGAUGCACGGUGGGGGUUGGUAAGAUUCGGCGGUUGGGGAUGGACUCGCGGCUUAUCAGCUUGUUGGUGGGGUUGUGGCUUACCAAGGCUUUGACGGGUAGCCGGCCUGAGAGGGUGACCGGCCACAUUGGGACUGAGAUACGGCCCAGACUCCUACGGGAGGCAGCAGUGGGGAAUAUUGCACAAUGGGCGGAAGCCUGAUGCAGCAACGCCGCGUGCGGGAUGACGGCCUUCGGGUUGUAAACCGCUUUCGCCUGUGACGAAGCGUGAGUGACGGUAAUGGGUAAAGAAGCACCGGCUAACUACGUG
rnacentral:rRNA from 1 species